ACGUACACUCCUGCGGGAGGCAGCAGUGGGGAAUAUUGGACAAUGGGCGCAAGCCUGAUCCAGCCAUGCCGCGUGAGUGAUGAAGGCCCUAGGGUUGUAAAGCUCUUUCACCGGUGAAGAUAAUGACGGUAACCGGAGAAGAAGCCCCGGCUAACUUCGUGCCAGCAGCCGCGGUAAUACGAAGGGGGCUAGCGUUGUUCGGAUUUACUGGGCGUAAAGCGCACGUAGGCGGACUAUUAAGUCAGGGGUGAAAUCCCGGGGCUCAACCCCGGAACUGCCUUUGAUACUGGUAGUCUUGAGUUCGAGAGAGGUGGGUGGAAUUCCGAGUGUAGAGGUGAAAUUCGUAGAUAUUCGGGGGAACACCAGUGGCGAAGGCGGCUCACUGGCUCGAUACUGACGCUGAGGUGCGAAAGCGUGGGGAGCAAACAGGAUUAGAAACCCCAGUAGUCCC
rnacentral:rRNA from 1 species